GAUAGGCUGGGUGUGGAAGUGCAGUAAUGCAUUAAGCUAACCAGUACUAAUUGCCCGUACGGCUUGUCCCUAUAACCUUAGCAGGU
rnacentral:rRNA from 4 species